GACGAACGCUGGCGGCGUGCCUAACACAUGCAAGUCGAGCGAUGAAAUCCCUUCGGGGAUGGAUUAGCGGCGGACGGGUGAGUAACACGUGGGUAACCUGCCUCAAAGUGGGGGAUAGCCUUCCGAAAGGAAGAUUAAUACCGCAUAAUACUAGAUUUUCGCAUGAAGAACUAAUUAAAGAAGUAAUUCGCUUUGAGAUGGACCCGCGGCGCAUUAGCUAGUUGGUGAGGUAAUGGCUCACCAAGGCGACGAUGCGUAGCCGACCUGAGAGGGUGAUCGGCCACAUUGGAACUGAGACACGGUCCAGACUCCUACGGGAGGCAGCAGUGGGGAAUAUUGCACAAUGGGGGAAACCCUGAUGCAGCAACGCCGCGUGAGUGAUGAAGGUCUUCGGAUUGUAAAGCUCUGUCUUUUGGGACGAUAAUGACGGUACCAAAAGAGGAAGCCACGGCUAACUACGUGCCAGCAGCCGCGGUAA
rnacentral:rRNA from 1 species